CUGCAUCUGCUGAAUCAUUGAUGGGCCAAGCUGCCUUAUUGAAACCUUCAUACCAGAGCCCUGACAACCAGGGCACUUCAUUGAAGCUCCUGAUUUUGAUCCCUUUCCCUUGCACUUUGAGCAUAUAACAUUGCGGGAUAGAGAAAGCUUCUUAGCUGUACCAAGAUAUAGAUCCUCCAAAGAGACCUUCAAUGGAUGAACAACAUCCUCUCCGCGUCUCUGCCUCCUUCCUCGGCUACUGCCACCUCCAAAUGGACUCCCACCAAAGGACUCAAAAAUGUCAAAAGGGUUAUGGCCACCACCGCCACCACCCAUUCCUUCCUUAAGAGCAUCCUCACCGUAUGUAUCAUAGAUCUCACGUUUCUCUGGAUCGCUCAAAACUUCAUAAGCCUGGGCCAGUUCCUUGAACUUCUCCGGAUCGCCUCCCUUAUCAGGAUGGUUCUUCAUAGCGGCCUUCUUAUAAGCCUUCUUCAAAUCAUCCUGGGACGCGUUCUUCGAAACACCCAAUAUCUCAUAGUAGCGGCUGUUAUCACUCUUCUUAGGUGCUCUCCCAAACAUCUUCCUUCUUUUCCACUAUACCAAAUCAAACACAGAGAAAAAUCCAGAAACUCAAAUCUCCAGAUACAACCUGCAGAUUUCUUAUUCUACUUGAGAGAAGGCUCUAGACACGUAUAGAAUAUUUAAAAGGAGGAAUGAAUUGCCUAGAAGGAUCAAGGCAGGGAGAGCUUU
rnacentral:misc_RNA from 1 species